CGCCGCCGCCGAGGAGGAGGGAGGGAGGGAAGGAGUCCCGCGGCUGCAAUGGCUGCCACCGGGAGCCGGGAGCGGAUCCUGUGCCUCUUCGACGUGGAUGGGACCCUCACCCCGCCUCGCCAGAAAAUUAAGCCUGAAGUAGCUGAGUUUCUUCAAGAGCUGCGUACAAGAGUGUUAAUUGGGGUAGUGGGUGGCUCAGACUACGCCAAGAUAGCUGAGCAGCUGGGAGAAGGAGAUGAAGUUAUCGGCAAGUUUGAUUACGUCUUUGCAGAAAAUGGCACCGUGCAGUACAAGAACGGGCAACUGGUCUCCAAGCAGGCUAUCCAGAACCAUCUUGGGGAAGAACUUCUGCAGGAUCUGAUCAACUUCUGCCUCAACUACAUGGCACUUCUAAAGCUGCCCAAAAAACGGGGGACGUUUAUUGAAUUUCGCAAUGGAAUGCUGAACAUCUCUCCUAUUGGUCGAAGCUGCACUUUGGAAGAACGAAUAGAGUUUUCAGAACUGGACAAGAAAGAGAGGAUUCGAGAGAAGUUUGUAGCUGCCCUGCAGAGGGAGUUUGCUGGCAAAGGCCUGCGGUUUUCCCGAGGUGGGAUGAUCAGCUUUGACGUCUUCCCUGAGGGCUGGGACAAGCGCUAUUGCCUCGACGUCCUUGAGGAUGAGAGAUUUGACACCAUCCAUUUCUUUGGGAAUGAGACAAGUCCAGGUGGGAAUGACUAUGAAAUCUAUGACGACCCUCGCACGGUGGGGCACAGCAUCCAGUCUCCCCAAGACACAGUCCGGAGGUGCCAGGAGAUCUUCUUUCCAGAGACAGUGAAUGAAUCUUGACCUGUGGUGUCCCUGCUGCUCUCGAUCACUCGGACGAACCCUCACUCACAUUAGGAAAGCACCUUUCGGAUCCUUUCAGGACUUGCUGAGGCCCAAGGUCAAAAUGCACUUUGGAAAUGGGAGUUGGAGUGUCAGAAUGGGAGGGAGAUGAUGAAAGCUCUUCAUCAGUUGUGCCACCAAACGAGGAGAUAUUUAAAUGACUCUUACAGGAAGGAACUGAUUCCGACACAGAGCGACUGCGUUUUUUAGAAUGGACAAAAAGAAAAAAGAAAAGGCAACAUUCAGUUAAUGAGAAAUGUAUCCUUAUUUAAAUUUUAUGUGAAAACCAGAUGUCUACUACUGACCAAUUUGUGGGUUUUUGCUCACAGGCAGCUGUUCAUAUAUAUAUUUUCAAUGCAUCACAAACAGGCAGCUGAGCUCCUACACCCAGGCUUAUAUGCUUUGUAGUUCAAUAUUGUAACUUAAUGUGGAACUAAAUACUAAUAAUAAUGAAGGCACAGGAAAUCAAUACUAUUUGUUUUUGUUAUUUCUGGUCAAUUUGCAUUUGCUCAAAUUCAAACAAACAAAAGCACAAACAGUAACAACUUGGCAGCUUAUUUUGACCAACCAUCUACAGUAUCUGUGAAGGUCACAGAUACAAUUCCCUCACAGAGCCUUAUCCAGCCUGGAUUAUGUUGGACUUCAGUCAGCCCCAAUCCCUAUGGCCAAUUGCCAAGGAUAAUGGUGUUUUAGUCCGAAACAUCUAGAGGUCACCAGCUUGGGGGAAGCUGCCCUAACAUUUCCACAUAAAAGCUCGUGAUGGGAGGGAGAGAAACACUUUGCCUGAAACUUUGAAAAGCUACUGUCUUCAAAAUAGCCCAUCCUGUGCUAGAUGAUUACAUGUAUGGCUGUUGUCCUCUUAAACCAGGCAUCCCCAAACUGCGGCCCUCCAGAUGUUUUGGCCUACAACUCCCAUGAUCCCUAGCUAACAGGACCAGUGGUCAGGGAUGAUGGGAAUUGUAGUCUCAAAAUGUCUGGAGGACUGAGUUUGAGGAAGCCUGCCUUAGACCAUAUUGACAACAUACAUUCAAAGUACUGAUACCACAGCUUCCCCCAAAGAAUUAUGGGAGCUGCAGUUUGCUAAGGGUGUUGAGAGUUGUUGGGAGGCCUCUCUUCCCCUCACAAUUCCCAGAGUUCCUUUGGAGAGGGAUUAUGGCACUACAGCUUCCAGAACUCUUUGGGGGAAGCAGUGAAUGUUUCAAGUGAUAUUGUGCUUUGCAUGUAUGGUGUGAACGUGGCCUAACUGCAGGAGGGGCAGAUGCACACAUGCUGCCCUCAUCCCCUCCAACACUAGAGUUUCUGCUUGAGCAGGGAGGUCUGCAAAGGGAUUGUGGGAACCCUACACAAGUGGGGCUCCCAAUCACAAGGAGGCUUGCGAGUGCCUUUAGUGGAAUGUAUUUACAAUCCCAAUUAGAUCUUCCACCAAACAGGAGGUGGUCAGACAUAGAACAGCCCCACACCUCCUACAUGAUUAGACAUCAGUGCCUGAAGAGGACUUUAGAUGUGAGGUGAGUCCUUACAUAUUUCCUAAGGUGCCAUCUGGGCAGAGUAUAUGGCCCAUGGUGGUCAGUCUUUCCACCUGUCUUGAACAGGACAGUCAGACACCUGAAGACUAGCCACCCAAUUCAAUUCCCUAGAUCCAGAUUUUGUGACGUCAUUCUGGUAUCAUCUGUA